GUGGUGAUUAAGAAGAGGGGAACGGGGAGACAGAGCUCAUUCCACAUCGUCUCUCUCCAUUCCCCAAUCUCAAAUCAGAAGAAAUCCGGAUAGGGAGAAAAGAGGAUUUGGAAAGAACGGAAUGCUCGGAUCUUUGAGCAAGUGGCUAGCAGCGUGGACAGGGUGCUCGAACUAAUCAGAGAGGAUAUUGCAACAUGGAGGACUGCUGGCUGUGUUGGCGAUUUCUGCUGACUUGUUUUUCUUCUUCUUUGCUGUGUUGUGCUUGCCUCUGGUGGCCAAGCUUCGCCUUUAUUUCUUCAGUGUUUAUUCAGAGUUAAACUCUGACGGCUGACAGUUCUAGAUCGCCUAGACUGCCUAGCUCGUUGUACUCUUCCUGUUCUUUCUAAUAAAAGAUCGGCCUAUGGCCCUUCGAGAGGGCGAGCUCCAAGGUUCUCUUCAACGAACCAGAGGACGAGAGAGAGGGGAUGGCUGGCGCUGCAGUUGGAGUGAGUUUCCCCCUAGUUUUUCUUCUCCAUCAUUUUGUUGUCUUGUUUCUUGUUUGAUGCUUCACCGUAGAUCUGUAGGGGAUUGGGGGUAGUUUUGUUUGUGGAUCAAGUGUAGAAUAGUAGAUUCAAGUCUAUAAUGGACUCCAUGAUUUAUAUGCAUUUUUUUUGUAUCCUUAUUUGUUCAAGCAUUCAAAAGAUUGGAGGAUUGAUUUGGAUGUGGUAGUUUGUACGGUCAAGAUCAAGUUGUAUUUUUUGUAGUGUCUCAAAGGGGCUGGCCAGAGUGAGCGGCUGCUAGGCCUUUUUUGUAAUGUCUCAAAGGGACCUCACUUUUUAGUCUUUUUGAUUUCACUUUUUUUGUUAGCUUCUUAGUCUGAAAAUGGAUUUUAGUCCAGGGGCUUGUUGUGAGUCAGCAACAUGAGGUCCUUGCCCAAGCUAAGUGCAUGUCUGCUGCACUGUAGGAGUUUUAUUACUGUACCCAUGUAUCUAGUAGAGUAGAUAGGAUUUUUGUAUGUCUAUACUUACCCCCGCAAGAUGAGGUACUGUUCUUUUCUUUUGUUUGUAUUAAAUAUCUGAUUAGUAGUUUCAAGCAGAGAAUUGCGUCCAUAUUUUAUACUUUUUUAGGGUUUUUUUUUCGUGUUGAAAUGCACAAUAAUGUCUCUCGCUCAGGCGCGUGGAUCAGCAAUGUCGGUGUGGCAGAUGUGAGUAUGAUGUUGGUUUCUUUUUUGUUAUAGCUAGAUUCACUUAUCUAAUCCAGAUUUUUUGCUUUUUCCCCUAUGUUUUUUGAACUAUCCAGUAAAGUUUAGUUUUACAACUAGUAGUACUAAUUUUGUUUUUUAGUAGCCCAAUAAACUGAGAUGAAGUUUUCUAUUUCUUUUGGACUGUACUAGAAGUAGGGUUAUCAAGACCGCCUUUUCUUCUUUAUGCUUGUAGGUAGUAGGUUUUAUCGACAUCCUCUGUACAUAGUGUAUAGUAUAGUUCAUUUGUUUACACCCUUUUUGUACAUCAGUGGGGGUGACAAUCUAGAUGAAUGCGUUAGGCUCUUUUUGCUAAAUCAGUAGCAUGUUUUUGAAUUUUUUUCUAUCAAAACAGGAGAAGAUUUUUACUACUGAUUUACUGAAUUUAUCAGUAGGAGUAGGUAUGUUCAUUUGUUUUGAUAGUCCCUAUAUAAUCAGUAGCUUGUCGUUUCUGAAUUUUUUUAUGUAAAUAGUACAUAUUAUUGCUGAAAUCUAUCACUAGGGAGUGGCCUUGUUUUAUUUUUUUUAUUUUUGCUGAUACUUUUAUCUAUUUUAAAAAGGAAUGAUUAAUGAAAGUAAGUAUCCAGCAACAGCAUGUUUUAUUUUAGUUUCUUUUUUCUUUUUCUGCUGAAAACCCGUAUGAAUCAGUAUGAUGUUUAUUCCUUUUUGUAUAUGAAAUCAAGAUAAUAUGGUCUUUUUGAUGGAUCCCCACAUCGCAAAUUUAUUUGUUUUCUUUUUUUUGGUCAUUAGUGGCGACGCCAAUGAUAUCUCAUCAUUAUCUCGAAAUCUUUCUCAUCGGAAGGAUACAAGUUUUUUCCUCUAAAAAUCAUUUUUUAGCUGAAUAUGUAUGGGUCUCACUAGCACAAAUUUAUCGCUUUUUUAUGCGGCACAGGAGAUGGUGUGCAGAGUUUGUUUGAGCCCUUGCUACCGCGAGAGCAGGACAAGCGGGAUGAGCAUGUUUGUCUGGAAGGAGUUCAAAAACGCAGGGGGGAUACACUGAAGUUUAAGUCAAACAAACGGACGUACACCAUUAAGUGUCACAAGGGGCCCAGAAAGAGCAUAAUGUAUGGUAGUGGGUGGAGGAAAUUUGUUGCAGACAACAAGUUGGGGAAUCUCUUCUACUUGGACUAGCCUUCCCCAAGGGCAGUGUCUGUGUGAUUCAAUUCGGGAAUGGUGCCGAAGAUGAAGGAUCUGAGGGUGAGAAUGACUACAUGGAAGUCUCAGAUGAAGAAGACGAGGAUAGACAAGCUGGCAACAGUGAUGACGAUGAUGAUAUUGUUCGCACUCAGGAAGAUGGGCUGCUUCCGCUCAACAAUGGGUUCAUAGGGUUGGCAUUUGUGCACCACCUCACGAGGACUAAUAUUCUUUUGGGAAGCAUGAAUUACAAGGGCAUGAUAGUAGAGCGGCAGGUCAUUUAUGAAGCAGGGAACUUAAAGAGGGCAUAAUCAAUCUUUUCUUCUUCAAGAAAAACUCGUACAUGUGGUGCAAAUGCACUUGGAGAUGGUUGGAAUGCCAAAUUCAUCGUAGGCUGUUAUUGCUGCACAUACUGGACACCAUGGUACUGCUGCCAUGGAAACACAAAUCAUGCUUAUGUCAGUUUCUGGAAUGGUGACACAUCUCAAACAUAUGUAUUUACAAUCUAAGAGAUUUUUUGUUUUCGCAUUUUUUAUCUUACUUGGACUGGGGUCACCAAAUUAUGUGGAGCUGGAGCACGACUGCUUGGAAAUCUCCGUGCCAAAGUAUUCACUGGCUGCUACAUGAAAUGCAGAAGACAAGAAACUUGAACAUCAGGCUGAGAAAAAGUUGGAGUUUUCUGCCAUGAAGUUAUCUUAGAGACAAACAUGUGUGCCCAUCAGGAAAUUUCCAUACUGCUCCAAGAUUGGUGCAGAAAAACAAAGGGGGAGAAGAAAUUACAAGGUUUUCAGGUCCAAAACGAAGAAGGGAACAAGAAAUUGAAAGGAGUUGCAGAUGGAUCCAUGUGGUGGGGGUGGGGG